ACCUGGUUGGCUCAGUCGGUUGAGCGUCGGACUUCGGCUCAGGUCAUGAUCGCAAUUGAGGUCCGUGAGUUCGAGCCCCACAUCGGGCU
rnacentral:tRNA from 1 species